UUUAGGAAAGAUAUCUCGCAGUUUUGGAAGAUUCCAUAUUUUAGUGAUCUAAAACAGAAUAACUGAAAAUGCAGGAUGUGUAAUCAACAUAAUAUAUAUAGAACAUAAAUAAUAUUGGGAAAAUUGCUAAAAGAGAACAAAAAAAAGGUUGUUGUCCCUUUAGUAUAAAACCAACAUAAAAUUGUCUCAAUAGUAUAAUUUUUCUCAUAAUCUCAAAACUAACCCUAUAUUUAAUCUAAUUAAACACAAUUUAAAAGUUAAUUUGAAUUUUAAAAAAAAAAGUUAAUGGAAAAAAGGUAAAAAACAGUUGAAA
rnacentral:lncRNA from 1 species